CAGUAGCCGCGGUAAUACGUAGGGUGCGAGCGUUAAUCGGAAUUACUGGGCGUAAAGCGUGCGCAGGCGGUUAUAUAAGACAGGUGUGAAAUCCCCGGGCUCAACCUGGGACCUGCAUUUGUGACUGUAUAGCUAGAGUACGGUAGAGGGGGAUGGAAUUCCGCGUGUAGCAGUGAAAUGCGUAGAUAUGCGGAGGAACACCGAUGGCGAAGGCAAUCCCCUGGACCUGUACUGACGCUCAUGCACGAAAGCGUGGGGAGCAAACAGGAUUAGAUACCCCGGUAGUCCCUGUCUCUUAUAC
rnacentral:rRNA from 1 species